GAAAGAAGCCGGCCACACAGAAGGUCCUGUGGCCGAGCCCCGAUUCCACGGGCGGGAAAAUAGUCUCCCCUCUUAGAGGAGAGGACCUGCAAAGUCCCGAGUCAGAGGAAGUGGGCGCACGGAGGGACGACACCUCAGGACCAUGAAGGCAAUCGAUUCCGUGUCUGCUUCUAUGCACACACCGAAGGUGACCUUCGAGCUGGAUCGUGAACCAUGAGCAGUUUUUCCACUGAAGAAGGAGGAAGGGCAUUGCAGGUAGACGGAACAGCAUGUGCAAAAGCCCAGAGUCAUGGAAAGCAGAGAGAAGAGCCAGGUGACCAGUGGGCAUGGAGCAGGGAAUGUACGGCUGGAAAUGGACACGGACUUCCCCACCGGAUCCCCGGUCCUCAGGCAUUUGGACCCGGACAGCACCAUGCCGGCAGCCUUCCUGCAUGUCCGGCUGGUAGAUGCCGACUGUGGGACUUCUCAGCCUCCAGAGUCUCAAGGGUCCAUUUCUAUAAUAAAUCUGUCUAGACAGACAGG
rnacentral:lncRNA from 1 species